CGAACGGCUCCGUACAACUGCUAUAAUCCUGCCGUGGGGUGAGACCCGGAUAAGCAGCGGUAAACCUGCGCCUAAAACGUAGAGGGGACCGCGGGCCCUUCGUGGGCUCGCGGGGCCCCAACCUCAAAGUACCCAAUGCCGCGCCAGCGAGCGGGGAAACGGGGGCCUCCACGUACUUGGAAUGCAGCCAGCCCGCCUCCCCUCUGCGGGGGAGGGGGGCUCGGCCUGGGGUUACGACCCCAGUGCCCUGCACUCUAGCCCAGGAACGCUGAAAGGAGUCAAACCGAAGGCACAGUAAGGCCCCCGCAAGGGGCAGGCCGAUGGGCACGAUGGGUUUCAGGCCUAUCAACCCGCUGGUAGGGUAUUGGCCUACCAGGGUUGCAACGGGUACAGAGGAUUAGGGUUUGAUCCUGGAGAGGUGGCCCGAGAAAUUGCCACCACUGCUACGGCAGGCAGCAGGCGCGCAACGUUCCCAAUGUUAUCACAUGAGGACGUGAGGGGGCGUAACAACGCCCCGCAUACGCGGGGCGGAUUGAAAUGGGGCGGGGCCUUAAACACCCCCGCCGAGUAGCAAAUUGGAGGACAAGUCUG
rnacentral:rRNA from 1 species